CUAUGACACUUAGAGAAGAUGUCUUUUGAUUUUUCCCAUCUAACUAGAAAUUUCUGGCCUUCUUCAACCUUCAUGUAAUAGUGAAUUUAUUGAUACUGCAUUUGCAAGGUUGACGUUUCAUUUCUAAGAAAAGAAUGUUUACUACAAUUAGAUGAGAAGAGUCUCUUCUGGUCAAAGAAGAUCUCUUAAGAGUAGUUCACAUGGGGAAAAGAAAAAUGGAUCUGAGAACGCUGUCUGGGCUUGGUACCAAGAGCUGGUAUUUCACAGCAGCGACCGCCUCACAGACGAGCUGUGGGAAGCAGGAGGGAGACUCUCUCUUAGGGUGCCACUACUAUGGAGACACAGCUGGGCUGAACAAGAUUUGCUUCAAACGACAACAAGAGAGACAGAAAGUAUCUGGUUCAACCGCUGCCCGAGCAGGCAGGCACCAGAAGAGCUAGCAGCCAAUCCGGCCAUGCUCGAAGCCAGCUCUGCAGCUCAGCCAAUCAGUGACAUCAUUGCUUUCUUUAGCUUGCCCAUGGUGAUGUGAAGAUGAGAAGAAAUAGCAAGGCCCAACCAGUUCUUCAUCUGGAGACAGUUCAACGUUCUGCAAACCAGAUCUUCAGGAAUUUUACUGGGAUAAUUAUCCAAAUAAAUUGCAAGCAUUCUAUCCAAAUGGAGCUCUUUCUGAGAUGAAGAGAAUUCUCAAUGUCAAGAUUUGAACAAGAAGAGAAUGGAAUACACAAUAUGGACAUCCAUAAAAAUUCAUCAGAGAGCAUUUUACUACUGAGCUGCAAAGGUGUCUGAUGAUUUGUGAGCCUCAAGUGACUACUCUGUGGAAUCAUCUGUCCUUGCCUUUGAAUUAGCUUUCCCUAGGCCAUGAGUCAACAUUAGUAGUUUAUACAUCCAAAUUGGUAGGUCUUUAUGAAAUUCUUCUAUGUAUUCGUUCUAGACAUAUAAGUGAAGUAUAAGAAAUUAUAGAUUUACAUUGUGGUUGUUUUUACAGCUUCUGGACAUCUUUGAGAAAAUACUUGGGUGGCAUUGAAACACUAGCCAAUGGAAGCAUUUGAUUUUGUAGAAUUUUGAAAUGUAGUGCCUUACUCAUAGUACACUUCCUAGUCUUGGGGGUGGGAAGACCAGUCUGUAGCUAACUUAUUACUGUCUUAUACAUCAUGCUAAAGCCCAGCCUGGGCAUUUGUAAACCUCGGGGAGGUUUCUACUUUAGACAACAGUUUUUGUUGAGGGAUUACACCACAGUCAGUUCCCUCCAUUUCUCCCUCUCUUCCUGGCCCCCCUCCCACCCAACAUGGAGCCUUUUCAACUCUUCAAAGAAGUGGGAAAAAAAAGUAGACUCUUUAUUAAUGGCAGAAAACAAACUGGCUGCUGUACUUCCGAGGCAGCUCUCUAAUAAUAAAGCAGAGUAGGCACUGCAACAAAGAAUUCUUGAAUGUACUAAAUAUAUAGGGAAGCCUAUUUAAAUUCACCAGAGGGGCUUAGAGGACAAGCAGCAGAAAGUUUAGAAUUCAAUUCAAGCCAUGCCAGAAAAUGAAAAUGUACUUAAAAAAGGAUUUCUGAAACAAUUGUUCAAAGAAAUGUCAACUUUUAAGGUUCUUUCUAGAAGAAUGAAAUUUGUACUCUAAUUUAUGUGGUGACUUUUUCAAUUAGAGAGGAAAAGUGAUUAACAGAAUCUCAAAGGAAUUGUAUCUUAUGUUUAAAGAAAACGUGUUUUCUUUCCAUAGGAUGUUCUCUAGUGAGGGCCACCUAGUGCACUGACUAAAAACAACCAAAUAUAUUUAUGGGACAAACAGAUAAUGUAUUUUUUUUUUUUUUUAGCAAUUAGACAUAACAAAUGCUCAUCUUACUUUGACAGAAAAAUAUUCAACUUUAUAUUCUUUCUAGUUCAUUUUCUCACAUUCAGCUCUACGAUUUAAAAUAUUUUAAUUGUAACUCUGAAAGAGCAAUUUGCUGAUAAAUAAUAGGACUAUGUGUUUCUAAAUUUAAGAGAUAAAAAAGUGAUCCCUACCUUAUCUCUUAGUGAUUGAGUCAAGAAAUUAUCGUUGCCCAUUAUUUACCUAUCUAUAAGACAUGUGUUUCUAUAAGGAAUACCCACAUCUAUAAGAAUAUAUAUUUUAUUAAUCACAAUGUUCACUUUCUUUAUAAAAACUGCUUAUAAAGAUCCCAGCACUUUGGGAGGCCGAGGUGGGCGGAUCACGAGGUCAGGAGAUGGAGACCAUCCUGGCUAACACGGUGAAA
ensembl:lncRNA MIR99AHG mir-99a-let-7c cluster host gene